rnacentral:rRNA from 1 species
CUACGGAGGGUGCAAGCGUUACUCGGAAUCACUGGGCGUAAAGCGCGCGCAGGCGGCUAUUUAAGUUGGAUGUGAAAGCCUACGGCUCAACCGUAGAACUGCAUCCAAAACUAUUUAGCUAGAGUGUGGGAGAGGAAGAUGGAAUUAGUUGUGUAGGGGUAAAAUCCGUAGAGAUAACUAGGAAUACCAAAAGCGAAGGCAAUCUUCUGGAACACUACUGACGCUGAGGCGCGAAAGCGUGGGGAGCAAACGGGAUUAGAAACCCUAGUAGUCC